UUACCAUGCAGUCGAACGCCCCGCAAGGGGAGUGGCAGACGGGUGAGUAACGCGUGGGAACAUACCCUUUCCUGCGGAAUAGCUCCGGGAAACUGGAAUUAAUACCGCAUACGCCCUACGGGGGAAAGAUUUAUCGGGGAAGGAUUGGCCCGCGUUGGAUUAGCUAGUUGGUGGGGUAAAGGCCUACCAAGGCGACGAUCCAUAGCUGGUCUGAGAGGAUGAUCAGCCACAUUGGGACUGAGACACGGCCCAAACUCCUACGGGAGGCAGCAGUGGGGAAUAUUGGACAAUGGGCGCAAGCCUGAUCCAGCCAUGCCGCGUGAGUGAUGAAGGCCUUAGGGUUGUAAAGCUCUUUCACCGAUGAAGAUAAUGACGGUAGUCGGAGAAGAAGCCCCGGCUAACUUCGUGCCAGCAGCCGCGGUAAUACGAAGGGGGCUAGCGUUGUUCGGAAUUACUGGGCGUAAAGCGCACGUAGGCGGAUAUUUAAGUCAGGGGUGAAAUCCCGCAGCUCAACUGC
rnacentral:rRNA from 1 species